rnacentral:rRNA from 1 species
AUGCAAACCACCUCUCUGUCUUCCGCUCCGUCCUCUCGGCCCCCCUCCGCGCCACCGCCUCCGCCCCCGCACGUCGCCUUUCCCUCGCUCCGUCGCCGAGACCUCCUCUUGCUCUCAGCGUCGCCUCUUCCACUCGCGCUCUCUCCGGCGGCCGCCUCGGCGCGCGGGCUGUUCCGCAUGCCGCCGCCGGGACUGGCCAACCGCUACUUCCUCGUGCGCGCUGGCGAGUCCGUGUACGAGGGGCAGGGACUCCUCCGGACCAACCCCGUCGCCAAGACGUCCGUCGACAGCGGUCUCUCCCCCGCCGGCCGCCGCCAGGCCGCGCGCGCCGCGCUCGAGCUCCGCCGCCUUGGUGCAUGCGAGGACGACUGCUGGAUAUGGCCCUCCAUCACCCAGCGCGCCUACCAGGCCGCCGAGAUCAUCGCUGCCGCCAACAGCAUCAACCGCAGUAAAAUCGUGCCGGAGUAUAGCUUCUUGGACGCGCGGGGGCUGGGUGCGUACGAGGGGAAGAGGUUAGAAGCAUUGCCAGAGGUGUAUGCAGCUGAUAAUAUUUCGUCAGACAUCAAACCACCUCCUACUUAUGAUGGUACACCUAACGAGAGCGUGGCGGACGUAUUUGUUCGGGUAACACAGCUCAUGUCAAUACUAGAGACUCAGUACUCAGGGGAUACUGUUGUCAUCGUUUCGCCAGAUUCUGACAACUUGUCAAUUCUUCAAGCUGGGUUGAUAGGACUGGACCUGCGGAGGCAUGACAGCCUGUUCUUUCAGCCGGGUGAGGUCCGAGCCGUUGAUCCUGCCAGUAUACCUGAAUACAAGCAACCAGCCUCUAGUGUUUUUAAGUGUACAAACCCACCAAGUUGCAAAUAA